CCGGCACGGGUGAGUAACACGUAUCCAACCUGCCGUCUACUCUUGGCCAGCCUUCUGAAAGGAAGAUUAAUCCAGGAUGGCAUCAUGAGUUCACAUGUCCGCAUGAUUAAAGGUAUUUUCCGGUAGACGAUGGGGAUGCGUCCCAUUAGAUAGUAGGCGGGGUAACGGCCCACCUAGUCAACGAUGGAUAGGGGUUCUGAGAGGAAGGUCCCCCACAUUGGAACUGAGACACGGUCCAA
rnacentral:rRNA from 1 species